AUGGGGGCUUAGCUCAGCUUGGUAGAGCACUUGGUUUGGGACCAAGGGGUCGCAGGUUCGAAUCCUGUCUUCCC
rnacentral:tRNA from 1 species